GCACUGCAGUAGAUAACACAUUGGCAAGUGACUAAUAUAUAAAGACAAUGUGGAGGCUAAAGCCACUUUUGCUUCUUUAUGAAGCAUUGGACAGAUCAAAGGAGGUGGGAAGAUUGUAGACUCUUUUUAGCUUUUUUAACAGCAGGUAUUAAAUUGUCAGAGUAUAAAUUCAAUUUAAACUUUACUAGCUUAGGAGAAUUCAAUCCACCAAAGGAGAAUCCAAUUUCAAAUAGAACUCCAUCUAAGGAGCAUGCAAUACUAUCCAUAUGCAUCUAUAAAUGUGUACAACUUCUCACUUGGAAAGCCAUCCCAUUUUGAAAAAGAGCUCAAUUCAUUUUCAUGUAGAAGCCAAAUCCAUUAUUGGUGUGAGAAAAAUGGAAACAAAGAGAGAAGGAAAAUAUUAGAGAGAGAAAAUUAGAAAUGGUUUUUCCUAAAUAUUUGUGUUUCUUUUAUAUGGAGAAAAUUAAAAGUGUUUUUCUUAAAUAUUCGUAUUUUUUUUUUUUGAGAGAGAAAAAGAUAGAAGAAAAGUAUUAGAAAGAGAAAAAAAACAUUUUCUAAAUAUUUGUAUCUUUUCUCUAGAUAAAAAAAUGUGUUUUCUCCUAUUAUAAAAAAAAAAUAUUAUCAAUUAUACUUUUUUUAUGUUAGAAAAAUAAUUAUUAUAUUAUUUUAUUAUAAUAAAAUUUUUUCUAUAAUUAUUAAUUAUUUUAUAUAUAUUUUACUUCAAUAUUUUACACAUAAAUUUUUUAUUUUUAUAAUUUCGACUUUUUGUGUGCCACAAAACAAGAUUUCCUAACAGAAAAGAGGCACAGGUGGCUUUGUGGAUAAAUAAAAUAAAUAGCCAUGGAAACAAAUUGCCAAUAAAGAGCCAUUGACACGUAACCCGCAACGCGGCUUUCUAUCAAACACAAAAUCUCUGAGUGUCAUUAGGGUUGGAAUAUUACUUGCAUCAUCCAUAACGUCACCUCAUUGAUUAAUCAAACUGGUUUAUUUAUUUAUUUAUUUUUUUGCCUCAUGCGCAUGAAAGAAGACCACAAAUAGAUUACCCACUUCUCAAUCUGCCUUGUGACAAGAAGUAAAAACUGUCUUUGAGAGUAGGGGAACAUAUCUUCUUGUUUGACUACUCCAUAGGAAUGCAGAACUGGUUGAUGAUUAAUGAAGAGGAUGAAGCAACUAGGCUUUUUCUGUGUACAAGAUAUCAAUAAUGAGGCUAAGAUCUUUUGGUGGUGUUUGAAGAGUACGUGCUUUCGAAACAAAUACAGACAAGCUCAUGUUGUACUAGUAGCUAGAUUUCCAGUGCGUGUUAGAUCAGGAUUCUGUUUUGGCUGAUUGAGGAAAAAGGGUCACUAUGUCUGUCCGUUUUCAUCAUUAUUGUACUUUCAAAAACAACUUAUCUAAUCCACAUUUUUUCCCCUCA